GGACUACCGGGGUAUCUAAUCCGGUUCGCUCCCCACGCUUUCGCGCCUCAGCGUCAGGUACAGCCCAGUCGGCCGCCUUCGCCACUGGUGUUCCUCCCGAUCUCUACGCAUUUCACCACUCCACCGGGAAUUCCACCGACCUCUGCUGCCCUCAAGCCUGCCAGUAUCCGAUGCCGUGUUCCAGUUGAGCCGAAACCUUUCACACCGAACUUAACAGGCCGCCUACGCGCGCUUUACGCCCAGUAAAUCCGGACAACGCUCGCCACCUACGUAUUACCGCGGCUGCUGGCAC
rnacentral:rRNA from 1 species